rnacentral:snoRNA from 24 species
AAUUAACUCAAAUGGCAUGUGUUCCUGUCGACGUCAUCUUACUCUUUACUUCUGUGAGUGAGAUUUCCGAUGUCCAAACAGGGUGAUUGUUUCCCUCAAAUGCAUGCCAGAUAAAGUGCCCUUGGGUACAAGAAAGAUGUAUCUCCAGCUGUUGAUAAGAGGGGGAAGCCUUUCUCUUCCACCUCGCCAAAAUUUUCAAAACUCCUGAUACAAUUGGUCAUGAUUCUUUCUACAUUC